rnacentral:rRNA from 1 species
GACAGAGGCCUCAAACGUUAGGCGGAAUCACUGGGCUUAAAGCGUGUGUAGGCGGAUCGUUAAGUGUCUUGUGAAAUCCCACGGCUCACCCGUGGAACUGCUGGGCAUACUGGCGAUCUUGGGCCAACUAGGGGCAACUGGAACAAGCGGUGGAGCGGUGAAAUGCGUAGAUAUCGCUUGGAACGCCAACGGUGAAAACAGGUUGCUGGGGUUGUGCCGACGCUGAGACACGAAAGCCAGGGGAGCAAACGGG